UGGGGAAUUUUGCGCAAAGGGGGAAACCCUGACGCAGCGACGCCGCGUGGAGGAUGACGGCCUUCGGGUUGUAAACUCCUGUCAGAAGGGACGAAAUCCCGCAAGGGACUGACGGUACCUUCAGAGGAAGCCCCGGCUAACUACGUGCCAGCAGCCGCGGUAAUACGUAGGGGGCAAGCGUUGCUCGGAAUUACUGGGCGUAAAGGGUGAGUAGGCGGUCGAGCAAGUCAAGGACGAAAUCCCGAGGCUCAACUUCGGAAUUGUUCUUGAAACUGUUCGGCUUGAGGGUAGUUGAGGAGAGUGGAAUUCCCGGUGGAGCGGUGAAAUGCGUAGAUAUCGGGAGGAACACCUGAGGCGAAGGCGGCUCUCUAAGCCUAUCCUGACGCUGAAUCACGAAAGC
rnacentral:rRNA from 1 species